rnacentral:tRNA from 1 species
GGGGAUGUGGCUCAAUGGUAGAGUGCUUGCCUGGCAGCAGCUCCAAGCCCUGGGUUUGAUCCCCAGCAUCACAA